rnacentral:lncRNA from 1 species
GAGACUAUGUUCAUAUUUAACAAAUCAAUCGAACCUACUAUUUGACACGGUGACGUUGCAACUGGCUUUUCCAAAAAAUUGAAGAAAUUGAAAUGAACAGCAAAAUGGGCACAAAUUGUGACCCGGCCCAACACAAACCCCCAAAAUGAAUCCCUGUACACAAUCCAUCAUUUUCACCCUAUGAAACCUAACGAACGAAAAAACCCCCAAAUCUAGGGCACCCUUGACGGCGAACUCGGAUAAAAUCACUAAACUUCGGAUUCGUCCAUCACGACGAGAUAAAAAUGCUGGUGCCCAAUAAAUCAAUUGUGUGUAUGCUUCGGGUUCCCAACUUCAGUUGAUCGCUGACUUCUUUCAUUUCUUGAAUUCGCAAGGUGAAUCUCCAUCAUACUAAGGAAGGGUGUCCAUCUCCGAUGCUGUCACCUCAGGUGGAUUUUCAAAGGACGUUAUGUAAGUAUGAUAUAGUUAAUAUGAAGAAGCCUUGAUGAUUUUUUUGUUCUCGAUUGACGAUGGUAAAACCCAAUUUAUAAGUAUGUAUGUAUUUCAAAUUUUGAUUAACCCGAAUUGGAAGAAGGAUAAAUUAUCAAUGUGUGUGUGUAUUUAAUUUUUUCAUACACCCGAAUUGGAAGAAGAAAAAAUUAUCAGUGUGUGUGUAUUUAAUUUUUUCUNCAACCCAAAUUGGAAGAUGAAAAGUAAUGGAGUUUGUGUGCAUUUCUUUUAGUUCUUAAAAUUUAGAAGUGUUCUAAUUGUAAUAUGUAGGUGGUCGUUGUAAGUUUUCUUCUGGUUCUUAAAAUUUAGCAGUGUUCUAAUUGUAAUAUGUUUGUGGUCAUUGUAAGUUUUCGAAUUUGAGCCUAUAUUGGUAAUUUGAUGAUGCCUUGUCUUGAUCUGGAGGACUAGCGCUCUUUCAUUUGCGGUUUGCUAAUUUGACUAUGUUGUGUAGAUACCUUUAUUGAUCAAUAAACAACAGCACAUUGCAUUUGCAGUUUUCUAGAAUGGCAAUGUUGUGUAUUGAUUGGUAAUAUGUUGGUUGUUCAUAUGUUAGAAUGACAGGAAAGAACUCCGGAAUCUACCUUAGCCGUAGAGAGAAGGGCACUUGUUUGCUGAUUGCCCUAACAAACGGCGACGCCCCUUCUGUAGACAUGACUUUGUGAAGUGCUUUGAGGUUGAAAAGGAGACGAAGAACAGGGGAAAGUUGUUCAAUUGCUGCGGUGCUCACUGUAGAUAUUGGGAAUGGGUCGAACUCUAAUAAUCAAGUAGCGAGUCUAGUACUGAUACCAUUAACUUGAAUAACUCAUCAGCACUUGAAGAUGUUCAACAAAUAACUCACACGUUCCAAUCUCUUUGCCGGUUAGUGGAAGAACAAGACAUUGAAAUUUUUGUAAACGUGACAAUAUGCAAAGGCAAUGGAAGUGUGGAAAUGGAUAAGAAAGGGAAUGGGUUGGCUUGAUUAGUAUUUGUAUUUUACUAGGAUGUUGUGUAAUAUAUGGUCUGUCAUUUGCAGCUUUCGGAAUUGAACACGUCAUUGAAAUGAACAAGACUUUGUAUUCUAUGGAAUUGCUCAAUCUGCAUUGUGUCUGCAACAUACUUGUUUUAUUACCCAAUUGCCGCAAAAAAAUACUCAUAAUAUUGCCAGCAUUAAGAAGAGG